UACGUAGGUGGCGAGCGUUGUCCGGAUUUACUGGGCGUAAAGGGCGCGUAGGCGGUCAGCACAAGUCAAUUGUGAAAUCUCCGAGCUUAACUCGGAAAGGUCAACUGAAACUGUGCGACUAGAGUGCGGAAGGGGCAACUGGAAUUCUUGGUGUAGCGGUGAAAUGCGUAGAUAUCAAGAGGAACACCUGCGGCGAAGGCGGGUUGCUGGGCCGACACUGACGCUGAAGCGCGAAAGCCAGGGGAGCGAACGGG
rnacentral:rRNA from 1 species